rnacentral:rRNA from 1 species
CCUACGGGAGGCAGCAGUGAGGAAUAUUGGUCAAUGGUCGGAAGACUGAACCAGCCAAGUCGCGUGAAGGAUGACGGCCCUAUGGGUUGUAAACUUCUUUUGCCGGGGGAUAAACCUGGCCACGUGUGGCCAGCUGAAGGUACCCGGUGAAUAAGCAUCGGCUAACUCCGUGCCAGCAGCCGCGGUAAUACGGAGGAUGCGAGCGUUAUCCGGAUUUAUUGGGUUUAAAGGGUGCGCAGGCGGGCCUUUAAGUCAGCGGUGAAAUCCCGUAGCUCAACUACGGAACUGCCGUUGAUACUGGAGGCCUUGAGUCGUGUCGAGGAUGGCGGAAUGCAGCGUGUAGCGGUGAAAUGCUUAGAUAUGCUGCAGAACUCCGAUUGCGAAGGCAGCUGUCCAGAGACGAACUGACGCUGAGGCACGAAAGCAUGGGUAUCAAACAGGAUUAGAUACCCGGGUAGUC